UGGGGUGUGGCUCAGUGGUAAGAGCACUUGCCUAGCAUAUGUGAAAUACUGGGUUAGAUCCUCAGCACUACAU
rnacentral:tRNA from 1 species